GAGGGGCGGGGCCAGCUCGGCACCUGACCUCUCCUUGGCCCCGCCCACUCCGGGAUUCUUAGCCUCAGAUUCAUUUCUGCAGCCCCGCAGUCCCAAAAAAAGAAUGUGGAGUGCUAGGUAGUUAGCACUAACUACUGAAUUUUUAGAAAGUUUUAGAUUUCCUGACUCUGAGAAAGGACCACUAAAGAUGUAAUCCGUUGGCCUUGAGUCAGGCGUUGGUCCACGCGGGGUCAUCCUGGCUCAGGUCCCCUCCUCAGUGCUCCCUCCAACCACCCACUCCGCCCUUCACUCACUGCCAACCCCGCUGCAGAGCAGAGCCCUUACAGAAAUCGGGUAAUACACAGGGACAAGGAGUGGAGGAAGCAUUAUCACUUGCCAUCAUGCAGCCAAGGAUCUGUGUUGGACACAGAAGGAAGUAGAUAGGUUUGGUGCUGGGCUGAGCUGCAGGGAGCCGAGGAGCACACACAUGACCCUCAGUGGGGGCCACAGAGCCUGAGGCAGGACAAGUGAAUGGAGAAGUGGCCCCACCAGUACGUUUCCUGAAAUAAAGUCCUGAGGAGGGAA